rnacentral:rRNA from 1 species
GUGUCAGCCGCCGCGGUAAUACGUAGGGUGCGAGCGUUGCCCGGAAUUAUUGGGCGUAAAGAGCUCGUAGGCGGUGUGUCGCGUCGGCCGUGAAAACCUGCGUCUUAACUGUGGGCUUGCGGUCGAUACGGGCAUCACUGGAGUUCGGCAGGGGAGACUGGAAUUCCUGGUGUAGCGGUGGAAUGCGCAGAUAUCAGGAGGAACACCGGUGGCGAGGGCGGGUCUCUGGGCAGUAACUGACGCUGAGGAGCGAAAGCGUGGGGAGCGAACAGGAUUAGAAACCCGUGUAGUCC